UGGGGAAUUUUGGACAAUGGGCGAAAGCCUGAUCCAGCAAUGCCGCGUGUGUGAAGAAGGCCUUCGGGUUGUAAAGCACUUUUGUCCGGAAAGAAAUCCUUGGCUCUAAUACAGUCGGGGGAUGACGGUACCGGAAGAAUAAGCACCGGCUAACUACGUGCCAGCAGCCGCGGUAAUACGUAGGGUGCAAGCGUUAAUCGGAAUUACUGGGCGUAAAGCGUGCGCAGGCGGUUUGCUAAGACCGAUGUGAAAUCCCCGGGCUCAACCUGGGGAACUGCAUUGGUGACUGGCAGGCUAGAGUAUGGCAGGAGGGGGGUAGAAUUCCACGUGUAGCAGUGAAAUGCGUAGAGAUGUGGAGGAAUACCGAUGGCGAAAGGCAGCCCCCUGGGGCCAAAUACUGACGCUCAUGCACGAAAGCGUGGGGAGCAAAACAGGAUUAGAUACCCUGGUAGUCCACGCCCUAAAACGAUGUCAACUAGUUGUUGGGGAUUCAUUUCCUUAGUAACGUAGCUAACGCGUGAAGUUGACCGCCUGGGGGAGUACGGUCGCAAGAUUAAAAACUCAAAGGAAUUGAC
rnacentral:rRNA from 1 species